rnacentral:rRNA from 1 species
ACGGAAGGCAGCAGUGGGGAAUAUUGCACAAUGGGCGAAAGCCUGAUGCAGCGACGCCGCGUGAGUGAAGAAGUAUCUCGGUAUGUAAAGCUCUAUCAGCAGGGAAGAAAAUGACGGUACCUGACUAAGAAGCCCCGGCUAACUACGUGCCAGCAGCCGCGGUAAUACGUAGGGGGCAAGCGUUAUCCGGAUUUACUGGGUGUAAAGGGCGUGUAGGCGGAGAUGCAAGUCAGAAGUGAAAUCUAGGGGCUUAACCCCUAAACUGCUUUUGAAACUGUAUCCCUUGAGUAUCGGAGAGGCAGGCGGAAUUCCUAGUGUAGCGGUGAAAUGCGUAGAUAUUAGGAGGAACACCAGUGGCGAAGGCGGCCUGCUGGACGACAACUGACGCUGAGGCGCGAAAGCGUGGGGAGCAAACAGGAUUAGAUACCCUGGUA